rnacentral:rRNA from 1 species
AUUGAACGCUGGUGGCAGGCUUAACACAUGCAAGUCGAACGGUAACAGGAAUUAGCUUGCUAAUUUGCUGACGAGUGGCGGACGGGUGAGUAAUGCUUGGGAAUCUGGCUUAUGGAGGGGGAUCACUACGGGAAACUGUAGCUACUACCGCGUAAAAUCUUCGGAUUAAAGGGUGGGACUUUCGAGCCACCUGCCAUAAGAUGAGCCCAAGUGGGAUUAGGUAGUUGGUUAGGUAAAGGCUGACCAAGCCGACGAUCUCUAGCUGGUCUGAGAGGAUGACCAGCCACACUGGAACUGAGACACGGUCCAGACUCCUACGGGAGGCAGCAGUGGGGAAUAUUGCACAAUGGGGGGAACCCUGAUGCAGCCAUGCCGCGUGAAUGAAGAAGGCCUUCGGGUUGUAAAGUUCUUUCGGUGACGAGGAAGGGUGAUAGGUUAAUAGCCUAUCAAAUUGACGUUAAUCACAGAAGAAGCACCGGCUAACUCCGUG